rnacentral:rRNA from 1 species
CCCUUAGAUGAUUUGGGCUGCACGCGCGCUACACUGACCCUAACAAUGAGCAACUGUCUGGCCUGAGAUGGCUGGGUAGCCUUUUCAACCCAUGUCAUGAUUGGGCUAGAUUUUUGUAAGUCUUGAUCUCUAACGAGGAAUCCCUAGUAUGCGUGAAUCAUCAAUCCAUGCAGAUUAUGUCCCUGCCCUUUGUACACACCGCCCGCCGCUCCUACUGAUUGGGCGAUCCGGUGAGCUGUUCGGCCAUAGCAAUGUUUCUUGAGCAGGGCAAUGAAUGUUUCGCAAACCUUGCCACUUAGAGGAAGGAGAAGUCGUAACA